rnacentral:rRNA from 1 species
GAUGAACGCUGGCGGCGUGCCUAAUACAUGCAAGUCGAGCGAACGGACGAGAAGCUUGCUUUUCUGAUGUUAGCGGCGGACGGGUGAGUAACACGUGGAUAACCUACCUAUAAGACUGGGAUAACUUCGGGAAACCGGAGCUAAUACCGGAUAAUAUUUUGAACCGCAUGGUUCAAAAGUGAAAGACGGUCUUGCUGUCACUUAUAGAUGGAUCCGCGCUGCAUUAGCUAGUUGGUAAGGUAACGGCUUACCAAGGCAACGAUGCAUAGCCGACCUGAGAGGGGGUUCGGCCACACUGGAACUGAGACACGGUCCAGACUCCUACGGGAGGCAGCAGUUGGGAAUCUUCCGCAAUGGGCGAAAGCCUGACGGAGCAACGCCGCGUGAGUGAUGAAGGUCUUCGGAUCGUAAAACUCUUUUAUUAGGGAAGAACAUAUGUGUAAGUAACUGUGCACAUCUUGACGGUACCUAAUCAGAAAGCCACGGCUAACUACGUG